ACUCCAUAAUACAGCAUAGGUGCAGCAGAGCUGUUUACAUGCUAGUCCUUUAACCACUUGGCCGCUUAAGGUGAAAACAGCCUGCAGUUUAUUUCCCUUGUAUUUUCUGCCAGAGCCUAGGUGAUUUGCUAGAAUGAAUUACUCAAGAGGUAAUGAACAAAACCUAAGGGUUAAAAGUAAACUAUGAUUAAGACUUCAUCCUCAUCUCCACAUUUAUCUCAUUUCUGUAGUGACCUGGCAGAGGAAAGACUCAAUUUCUGACCAUGAAUAUUGCUGGCUAGAGAAGGUACUUAAAGGGGACCUUUUGGCUGCUGGUGUGUUUUAAGACUUAAGCCCCACAACUGAGAAAUUAAAACCUGCUUUGACAUAUGAAUGAACCAAAUGAGACCAUGAGGCUUCUGAGAAAAUUAUACAGCUCAACCUUGGUGCCUUCCAUCUGAGCGUCUCAAAACAAUAUACAAAAAUUAACAAAAUAGCAUGCCUGGAAGGCCUAUGGUAAGAUUUCCAGAGGACCUGAAGAGUGGAAAGAUUAGCAGUGCUCUGCUCAUGAGGCUGAUCCAAGGUGCUGAGCGAGGCUGUUUCAGUCCUGAGGAAGGACUCCUGUGCCUGGAAUCUGCUCUGUUUCUGACUGUUGUCCCAGGCAGUUCCCUUAGGUGGGAUUUCACAGUCCCAGCAAUACUGUGAUGAAGUCAAGGCUGGAACACCUUUUCCUGCAUGCGCCAGAGGUACUGUGGAUGCCGUGACCCACUGACAUCAUUUCAGGGGACACAGAAGCAAAUUGAGAAGAGGAUUUUUCUCUUAUAUUAUCUUUUCUUUACUUUCAUUUCAAAGAGGACAGGAAAAAAUGCAGAGACAGGAUUUUAGCCCUUCAUUUUAUAAUGUAAUUGAAAUGCCAAGAGACUGAAAAAAUUCAAUGUUGAUGAAGAAACGGAUGUUAGUGCAAUGAAGAAUAGCUCUGUCUUUGUCAGUCUGCAGUCUUUUAUGUGUCACAGGCUGUCACUUUCUAUUGCAUUUCAACUGACUAAUUACCCCAGUUUAUUAAAAGUGAAUAUGAAUUCACAUUUUUUACUUUGCCAUGUUCCAAGUGUUAGUGUUAUCAGGAGCUAUUACUGAAUGAUAGAUCCCACAGUUCUAGGCUUCCUCAUGUGGGCAAGUACAGAGCAAAUCUACCUCAAUAUCAAUGAAAACCAGAUAUAUUCAUUUAAGGGGGAAAUAUAUACUAUGUGCAGUACAUGCUCACAUCCAAGCAUUAAUCACCCUGGUGUGUCCCACAUGGCUCAGUGUAUUAUUAGAACCUCACUCACAGAGCAGAAGAGUGUCUGUAAGUGAUGAUGUUGGAAGGGUUGGACUUGAAUUAAAUGUACUCAUCGCUUCCUAAUGGGGAGGUAUUUUCUGACAGCUGUAAUGAAAACUGCUGCUCAUCAAAAGGUACUCUGUGUCCUAGCUCACAAAUUCAACCUCAGCUGCAAGUUGCACAUUUAAAUUUCAAAGUUUUUAUCUCUAGCCGCACUGGAGUGCACUUAUAAGUGCUGUGGAAGGGUCAAAUUAGAUGAAAUCAAAGCCCUGAUUCUACUGAAGAGGCAAUUUUAAGCUUUUGCAAUUGGAGCUGUGUGCUGUUAUAGGCUUAAAAAACCUCAUCAUCAAAAAUAAGGAUUUCUAGAAUAUGAUAAUUAUCACUUUGAUCUGUCCAACUCAGAUCCAGCAGUAACUAAAAUAUUUGAAAUUCCCCAUUCUGUAUAAAACAACACAUUCAUAUGAACAGGUGCAUAAACUACAAUAGUUCUAGUACAAUUGGUACCACAUUUAUUAUUGCUAGUUCUUCACAACUUCCCCUACAUUUUUGAGUGAGUGAUCAGAUUCCUUGGGAGGACAUUUGCACCACCUUUGGAGGAGUUGCAUACUGGCAUCAGCUUUAUGUGUAUUGGCAGUAAUAAUCAAUAAGAGGAAUAACAAUAACUUGGGAAGUUAUGUCGAUAGCAAGUGCUGGGAAAGAAUGGUGAUUCAGGUCUCGGAGGGAAAUGCCAUUUUGCCUGAAAGCAAAGCACACGUAGUCAACAGGAAAAGGGAGAGGGUUUCAUUCUUCUAGUGUUUUCCUAGUAGGUACUCAUUGUUUAUAACAAAAUGUAACUAUUGUAUGUUUUCCUAUGAUUUGAGAUAUUUACUAUUUCACAUGCUAAACAAAAUGUUCCUUCAUUAGAACAUAACAUAGUUGGAGGGAAUAAAUAUCACAUGACUGGCUGCAGUGGCAGUACUGUCAUCUUCUACAUUUACAAAAAUG